rnacentral:rRNA from 1 species
UACGGAGGAUCCGAGCGUUAUCCGGAUUUAUUGGGUUUAAAGGGUGCACAGGCGGGAAAUUAAGUCGGCGGUGAAAUUUUGCGGCUCAACCGUAAAAGUGCCUUCGAUACUGGUUUUCUUGAGUGUGGAUGAAGUAGGCGGAAUUUGUGGUGUAGCGGUGAAAUGCAUAGAUAUCACGAGGAACUCCGAUUGCGCAGGCAGCUUACUAAACUACUACUGACGCUCAGGCACGAAGGCGUGGGGAUCAAACAGGAUUAGAUACCCGGGUAGUCCCUGA